UGGGGAAUAUUGGACAAUGGGCGAAAGCCUGAUCCAGCCAUGCCGCGUGUGUGAAGAAGGUCUUCGGAUUGUAAAGCACUUUAAGUUGGGAGGAAGGGCAGUAAGCGAAUACCUUGCUGUUUUGACGUUACCGACAGAAUAAGCACCGGCUAACUCUGUGCCAGCAGCCGCGGCAAUACAGAGGGUGCAAGCGUUAAUCGGAAUUACUGGGCGUAAAGCGGGCGUAGGUGGUUCGUUAAGCUGAAUGUGAAAGCCCCGGGCUCAACCUGGGAACUGCAUCCAACACUGGCGAGCUAGAGUAGGGCAGAGGGUGGUGGAAUUUCCUGUGUAGCGGUGAAAUGCGUAGAUAUAGGAAGGAACACCAGUGGCGAAGGCGACCACCUGGGCUCAUACUUACACUGAGGUGCGAAAGCGUGGGGAGCAAACAGG
rnacentral:rRNA from 1 species